CUUAAUGGCAGCUCUACUGGCUCUGAAUUUGAUUCAUCAAUCAAAUUCAAUUCUGUGUGUGUCAGUCCUUCCACCUCACGAACUUCAUCAAGUUCAAUUUUACAGGUAUUAGCUCCUUCACCAAGAAAUUUUUUUUCAGAAAAGACUGUCCGAUUGCUGACAAACAUCUUUUGUUCGGCAGUGAGGUAGAAGUAGUAUCCUUUAAUUUUCUUUGGGUAUCCUAUGAAC
rnacentral:lncRNA from 1 species